GCCAGCCGCCGCGGUAAUACCGGCGGCUCGAGUGGUGGCCACUUUAUUGGGCUUAAAGCGUUCGUAGCUGGGUUAUUAAGUCCCUUGGGAAAUCCGACAGCUUAACUGUCGGGCGUCUAAGAGAUACUGGUAAUCUUGGAACCGGGAGAGGUGAGGGGUACUUCGGGGGUAGGAGUGAAAUCCUGUAAUCCUCGAGGGACCACCUGUGGCGAAGGCGCCUCACCAGAACGGCUUCGACAGUGAGGGACGAAAGCUGGGGGAGCAAACCGGAUUAGAUACCCGGGUAGUCCCAGCCGUAAACGAUGUGCGUUAGGUGUAUCGGUGACCACGAGUCACCGAGGUGCCGAAGGGAAACCGUGAAACGUACCGCCUGGGAAGUACGGUCGCAAGGCUGAAACUUAAAGGAAUUGGCGGGGGAGCACCACAACAGGUGGAGCCUGCGGUUUUAAAUUGGACUCAACGCCGGAAAUCUCACCGGAUAAGACAGCAGAAUGAUUGCCGGGCUGAAGACUCUGCAUGACUAGCUGAGAAGAGGUGCAUGG
rnacentral:rRNA from 1 species